UACAGAGGUCCCAAGCGUUGUUCGGAUUCACUGGGCGUAAAGGGUGCGCAGGUGGGUUUGCAAGUUCGAUGUGAAAGCCCCGGGCUUAACCCGGGAAUGGCAUUGGAUACUGCAGAUCUGGAGGAUCGGAGGGGGGACUGGAAUUCUUGGUGUAGCAGUGAAAUGCGUAGAUAUCAAGAGGAACGCCAGUGGCGAAGGCGAGUCCCUGGACGAUACCUGACAUUGAGGCACGAAAGCGUGGGGAGCAAACAGG
rnacentral:rRNA from 1 species